GACGAACGCUGGCGGCGUGCCUAAUACAUGCAAGUCGAGCGAGCAAAACUAACAGAUUUACUUCGGUAAUGACGUUAGGAAAGCGAGCGGCGGAUGGGUGAGUAACACGUGGGGAACCUGCCCCAUAGUCUGGGAUACCACUUGGAAACAGGUGCUAAUACCGGAUAAGAAAGCAGAUCGCAUGAUCAGCUUUUAAAAGGCGGCGUAAGCUGUCGCUAUGGGAUGGCCCCGCGGUGCAUUAGCUAGUUGGUAAGGUAAAGGCUUACCAAGGCGAUGAUGCAUAGCCGAGUUGAGAGACUGAUCGGCCACAUUGGGACUGAGACACGGCCCAAACUCCUACGGGAGGCAGCAGUAGGGAAUCUUCCACAAUGGACGCAAGUCUGAUGGAGCAACGCCGCGUGAGUGAAGAAGGUUUUCGGAUCGUAAAGCUCUGUUGUUGGUGAAGAAGGAUAGAGGUAGUAACUGGCCUUUAUUUGACGGUAAUCAACCAGAAAGUCACGGCUAACUACGUGCCAGCAGCCGCGGUAAUACGUAGGUGGCAAGCGUUGUCCGGAUUUAUUGGGCGUAAAGCGAGCGCAGGCGGAAGAAUAAGUCUGAUGUGAAAGCCCUCGGCUUAACCGAGGAACUGCAUCGGAAACUGUUUUUCUUGAGUGCAGAAGAGGAGAGUGGAACUCCAUGUGUAGCGGUGGAAUGCGUAGAUAUAUGGAAGAACACCAGUGGCGAAGGCGGCUCUCUGGUCUGCAACUGACGCUGAGGCUCGAAAGCAUGGGUAGCGAACAGGAUUAGAUACCCUGGUAGUCCAUGCCGUAAACGAUGAGUGCUAAGUGUUGGGAGGUUUCCGCCUCUCAGUGCUGCAGCUAACGCAUUAAGCACUCCGCCUGGGGAGUACGACCGCAAGGUUGAAACUCAAAGGAAUUGACGGGGGCCCGCACAAGCGGUGGAGCAUGUGGUUUAAUUCGAAGCAACGCGAAGAACCUUACCAGGUCUUGACAUCUAGUGCCAUUUGUAGAGAUACAAAGUUCCCUUCGGGGACGCUAAGACAGGUGGUGCAUGGCUGUCGUCAGCUCGUGUCGUGAGAUGUUGGGUUAAGUCCCGCAACGAGCGCAACCCUUGUUAUUAGUUGCCAGCAUUAAGUUGGGCACUCUAAUGAGACUGCCGGUGACAAACCGGAGGAAGGUGGGGAUGACGUCAAGUCAUCAUGCCCCUUAUGACCUGGGCUACACACGUGCUACAAUGGGCAGUACAACGAGAAGCGAGCCUGCGAAGGCAAGCGAAUCUCUGAAAGCUGUUCUCAGUUCGGACUGCAGUCUGCAACUCGACUGCACGAAGCUGGAAUCGCUAGUAAUCGCGGAUCAGCACGCCGCGGUGAAUACGUUCCCGGGCCUUGUACACACCGCCCGUCACACCAUGGGAGUCUGCAAUGCCCAAAGCCGGUGGCCUAACCUUCGGGAAGGAGCCGUCUAAGGCAGGGCAGAUGACUGGGGUGAAGUCGUAACAAGGUA
rnacentral:rRNA from 1 species